rnacentral:lncRNA from 1 species
GAGGAAAGAGUAAGCAAGUAGAAUGAAAAUUGAGAAAGAAGGAAGGAAACAAAGGAGAGAAAUAAAGAGAACUUGGCUGAUGGACGAUGGUGGCUGGAAUGUGGGCCAACGUUGCUGGAUCUUGUAAGAAAGGAGGGAGUGUUUGAAGGAGAGAACAAGAAAAUGAAAUUAGGGUUAAAAGUGAAAAACCUAAAAUACUCCACAAGUUUUUAAAAU